GGGAGAGAUCCAAGAUUCCAAAACCUCUACAUCCCUACUGUAUUUCUCAAAAAAAUGACUAUUAAUCUGCAUCCUUCCUGUAUAUUGAUAGCCUUCUGUCUCCAGCGCAAUCUAAGAUAUUUGUCAUGUCACAUGCUUAUUGUCAAGUUCCUCACCUCAUACUUUUAUGGCUGCCCUGAUGUGUUUUGCAAUUAACCUAUUUAAUCUCAAGAAUGGGCUGAAAGUAGGGAAUUAAAUGUGCUGAAAUC
rnacentral:lncRNA from 1 species